rnacentral:rRNA from 1 species
GACGAACGCUGGCGGUGUGCUUAACACAUGCAAGUCGAACGGUAAGGCCCUUUCGGGGGUACACGAGUGGCGAACGGGUGAGUAACACGUGAGUAACCUGCCCUCAUCUCUGGGAUAACAGUCGGAAACGGUUGCUAAUACUGGAUAUGAGCUUGCAAGGCAUCUUGUGGGUUGGAAAGAUUUUUUUGGUUGGGGAUGUACUCGCGGCCUAUCAGCUUGUUGGUGAGGUAGUGGCUCACCAAGGCUUCGACGGGUAGCCGGCCUGAGAGGGCGACCGGCCACAUUGGGACUGAGAUACGGCCCAAACUCCUACGGGAGGCAGCAGUGGGGAAUAUUGCACAAUGGACGGAAGGCGGAUGCAGCAACGCCGCGGGCGGGAUGACGGCCUUAGGGUUGUAAACCGCUUUCAAUUGUGACGAAGCUUUUUGUGACGGUAGCAGUAGAAGAAGCACCGGCUAACUACGUG